rnacentral:rRNA from 1 species
AUUGAACGCUGGCGGCAGGCCUAACACAUGCAAGUCGAGCGGUAGAGAGAAGCUUGCUUCUCUUGAGAGCGGCGGACGGGUGAGUAAUGCCUAGGAAUCUGCCUGAUAGUGGGGGAUAACGUCCGGAAACGGACGCUAAUACCGCAUCCGUCCUACGGGAGAAAGUGGGGGCUCUUCGGACCUCACGCUAUCAGAUGAGCCUAGGUCGGAUUAGCUAGUUGGUGGGGUAAAGGCUCACCAAGGCGACGAUCCGUAACUGGUCUGAGAGGAUGAUCAGUCACACUGGAACUGAGACACGGUCCAGACUCCUACGGGAGGCAGCAGUGGGGAAUAUUGGACAAUGGGCGAAAGCCUGAUCCAGCCAUGCCGCGUGUGUGAAGAAGGUCUUCGGAUUGUAAAGCACUUUAAGUUGGGAGGAAGGGUCGUUACCUAAUACGUGGCGAUUUUGACGUUACCGACAGAAUAAGCACCGGCUAACUCUGUGCCAGCCGCCGCUGUAAUAC